rnacentral:lncRNA from 1 species
CUGGUGACUGUAAAAUCAACUCUACAAUAGUUGUAAAACCAGUCCUUCUUGUUCAGCCACUUAAAAAAGACACUACUGAAGUGGAAGAACUUGAAUUUGAUGAGCCAGAGGUACAUGUAGCCUGUAAACCAAGGACAAGGAAAAGAGUUAACACUUGGAGAUUGUUUCAACCCCAAGACAGAGAUGUACUCAUCAUUGGAUCAUUUGGUGAUUUUUCUAAACAGCACGUGUAUACUGUAGCACCUAAGAUUGUUCCCAGCCACUUAAAAGGAAAGGAGUGGAUGAGCAACGAAAUUGAAAGAAUCAAAGAUCUUUACGAAAAGUACAAUGAAAGGUUUGAGGUCUUUUUCUUGUCUCGUUACUCUCCUGGAGAAGAAAAAUCAAGACAGGAUUACAUUGAUAAAAUUAAAUCAAUAUUUGACACCAAGAAACACGAAGGAGCUGUCAUCUGGUACACUGGUCAUGGAGAGAAAGGUACUGGUAACUGGUGCUUCAAUGACGGCAUCAUUUCAUUUGAUGAUAUCUUCAAUCUCUACCGCAGCCACUACAUGGGCUCUUCACUGACGAUAGUCUCCGACUGUAGCUACUCAGGCCAAUGGAUUAAUGACUGGGCUAUGAAACUAGAUGAGUUUAAUAUACCAGCUUGUGGGCAUCAUGCUAGGAAGAAAAAAUUUCUAAUUAAAAUAAUUGCAUCUUGUCAGCAUAAUGAAGAAGCAACGGCCCUCUCAUUCAUAAGUGAGGGGGUGGAUUUUGAUGGAGACGAGAAGGGACUGAUGCAUUGCCAUGAUGGGAAGGUUUUAGAAUCAGGGCAAAGGUGUUUUGGGAUCAAUUUCAGAGUUAUUUGUUGUCGUAAAGGAAGUCACGGAACUUUUGAAAUUGAUAGCAGUUGUUCGUCUAAAAUUCACCUGGACAGAAUGUAUAUCGGGUAGUUCAGAACUUGUUUAUAUUGUUACUGGAGAAAAUGAAGAUCACAAGAACGUGUGGCACUGCCUGCUAUUUGAUAGGAAGAAACUGAAUGUGUUUAAAGGAGCAGUUAGCACAGCAGAGACCAUUGAUGUUAGUUCUUAUGGGGAAAUUCUUCAUUCUGGCAUUGGACAUGAGCCACCAGUAUGGUUGCACAGGAACUUAGAAUUAAGAUUUGUGAAGUGUCCUACUGAUAUGAUGGAUUUAAGAGAAAGUUGAUGUCUUCAUGGAAGCUAGCCAUUCAAGAAUUCUUUUUCAAAAGGUCCAUUCACGAACUCAUUUAUGGUAUUUGCUUAUGCAGCACCCCAGGCCGUAAUUAAUUGGGCAUGCAGGUGAGGGGUACUGAGGGCACUUGAUGAAGCAUGGAAGUCUCUUUCAAUACUUUCUGAGCGAAACAACAUAUGACUCUGCUGCAGUGGUGAUACCUAAAGCUACAAAGAAGGCAGCAGUCUCUUCUCUUCCUAAACCUCAGCUUUUCUUGGCCAGUCACGAUCCUAAAAUGAAUUGUUUUCUGUCUGAAGUGAGGAAAGUGCCCAUUCACAUAGUGAUGCAUUUAACAGUCAAUCGUCUCAUCAAAAGUUAAUGAUAGCAGUACAGGAUAAUUUUGCAUACAGGAUGGUUGUGCCAAAGGGAUUUGGCAUUAAAUCCUCAGGUACAAAAACACUGAUUAUGCAUGCAUGCUUUUAUGACAUUUGUGUUUUAUUUCAUUUUACGUGGAAAAGCCCGAACCUUUAGUAGUAACAUCAAACACUUCAAUCAAUUCAAGCACUAUUGUUAUGUCUACUAAGUCUCCUGAAGGUCUCCCUAAAGAACCUGGAUCCAAAACCUUUCUUGAUUUCAAUAGAAGUACAUUGGCUAGCUAUGAUAUAAAAAGGUAGUAGAUUUACUGGUAGAGAUGAGGUUGGAACAAUAUGCUGAGACAUUUCAGAGGAAGCAAAUUGAUGGUAAGAUACUGAUUGAAUUAGAUGAAAGUAUACUUAAGGAAGAGCUGGGAAUAACUAAGAGGAUACAUCGGUUAAAACUAUUGAACAUUAUUAAUGGUGAUCAAUGUGUUUCAGUUUAUGUUUAAUAGAUUGUUUUUAUUUUUGUACACACACACAUGUAGUUAUAUAAACAGUAAGUUAAUUGACUGUA